ensembl:lncRNA
CAGAUCUGCGGCAGAAGAACUCAAGGAAUACAACAAAAUCAAGAGAGUGCCUUCCCGGGUCGACCAGCCCAAUGCCCAAGCAGGAGCAGCUCAGCUGGGAACACUUUGUGGCCUGGGCAGGGGGAGGAGCAGAGGGCCCCCGGCAGUGCAGCCUGGGAAAGGGGCUGGCAGCCUCCAAGACAGAGGAAGGCCCUACCCUCUGCUCUAGCUUUUGUGGAGAAAUGUGUGUUAGUUGUUCAGUCAUGUCCGACUCUAAGACCCCAUUGACUGUAGCCCACCAGACUGCUCUGUUCAUGGAAUUCUCCAGGCAAGAAUACUGGAGUGGGUUGCCAUUACCUUCUCCAGGGGAUCUUCGUGAUCCAGGGAUCAAAUCCAGGUCUCCGUCUUUCAGGCAGAUUGUUUACCCAAAUGAACACUGAUUCACAACGCUGCAAGUCUAAAAUGGGAACUGUGGACAUUCUGCUGCUGCUGUGUCCGACUCUGUGCAACCCCAUAGACAGCGGCCCACCAGGCUUCCCCGUCCCUGGGAUUCUCCAGGCAAGAACACUGGAGUGCGUUGCCAUUCUGGAAGAUGCUAAAAGAAACAUUCCUCUCUCUUUCAUUCUUCACUCCCUCUUUACUCUUCACUACUCUUCAAGGGCAGAGGAGGGACCACCUGACAUGCCUAGGAAAAUUCAAGCAUUAUUCACAAUAGCCAAGAUAGGAAACAACCUGAAGAUUCAUCAGUGAAUAAAUGGAUAAAGAAGAUAUGGGAUAUGCAUUCACUGGAAUAUUAUUCAGUCACGAGAAAGAAGGAAAUCCUGUCACUGACCACACUUGAAUGGACCUUAAGGAUGUUGCAGUAAGUGAAGAAUGUAGAAAGUCAGGUGAAGGAGCAGGAACUCAACCUCAGACCUCGCCUCCACCCUCAGGUGGAGCACAAAUACUGUCCUGCGGGAGGAGCUGAGAGGAAGUGACAAGGACAGUCAGGACGGAGGGUUCUCCAGAUUCUGUCCUCACCACCUCGCUGAGCGGCCUGGGAUGAUUGCUUAACCUUCAGGACAGUUUCCUCCUUGG